rnacentral:rRNA from 1 species
AGGAAUAUUGGUCAAUGGGCGCGAGCCUGAACCAGCCAAGUAGCGUGAAGGAUGAAGGUCCUAUGGAUUGUAAACUUCUUUUAUACGGGAAUAAAGUGGUCCACGUGUGGGCUUUUGCAUGUACCGUAUGAAUAAGCAUCGGCUAACUCCGUGCCAGCAGCCGCGGUAAUACGGAGGAUGCGAGCGUUAUCCGGAUUUAUUGGGUUUAAAGGGAGCGCAGACGGGGGAUUAAGUCAGUUGUGAAAGUUUGCGGCUCAACCGUAAAAUUGCAGUUGAUACUGGUUCCCUUGAGUGCAGUUGAGGCAGGCGGAAUUCGUGGUGUAGCGGUGAAAUGCAUAGAUAUCACGAAGAACCCCGAUUGCGAAGGCAGCCUGCUAAGCUGUAACUGACGUUGAGGCUCGAAAGUGUGGGUAUCAAACAGGAUUAGAUACCCUGGUAGUCCACACGGUAAACGAUGGAUACUCGCUGUUGGCGAUAUACUGUCAGCGGCCAAGCGAAAGCAUUAAGUAUCCCACCUGGGGAGUACGCCGGCAACGGUGAAACUCAAAGGAAUUGACGGGGGCCCGCACAAGCGGAGGAACAUGUGGUUUAAUUCGAUGAUACGCGAGGAACCUUACCCGGGCUUAAAUUGCAGACGAAUUACUUGGAAACAGGUAAGCCGCAAGGCGUCUGUGAAGGUGCUGCAUGGUUGUCGUCAGCUCGUGCCGUGAGGUGUCGGCUUAAGUGCCAUAACGAGCGCAACCCUCGUGGCCAGUUACUAGCAGGUAACGCUGAGGACUCUGGCCAGACUGCCAUCGCAAGAUGCGAGGAAGGUGGGGAUGACGUCAAAUCAGCACGGCCCUUACGUCCGGGGCUACACACGUGUUACAAUGGGAGGUACAGAAGGCAGCUACCCGGCGACGGGAUGCCAAUCUCCAAAGCCUCUCUCAGUUCGGACUGGAGUCUGCAACCCGACUCCACGAAGCUGGAUUCGCUAGUAAUCGCGCAUCAGCCACGGCGCGGUGAAUACGUUCCCG